rnacentral:misc_RNA from 1 species
AAUCUAAAAGAAAAAAAAAAAUCUAAAUUGAAUUUUACUCGCUAAAAAUCUCUUGCGAAUUUCAGCAAUUAACCCAUACCACAUACGCGAUCAUGAAGAGUAACGAAGCCAACGUUAGGAUCACUUUCGAACAAUUCGAUAAAGUCAGAAACGGAUAAGAUGGUGUACAGAGCGUGAAGAAAAGAAAUAAGAAAAGAAAAAGGGCGAGCGAUAUCUUGAGCAAUCGAGUGCCGGAUGAAUGAUGGAAGGGGAUCGAGGAUUCGACGUAGGAAGGUAUUCGACUUCCAAUAGAAAUUGGCAGCGUGGAAGUUAUCGGGUCCGCGGCGGAAAGCGAAGAAAACGGAGGCGGAAACCUUGGGGCGAAAGGAUCGUGGACUGGACCAGGGCUCUGAUCGCUUUCCUCUUCAGCAAUGUUGGCAUAGUAUGCUUGGUGGUCGGUUACACCAUAGCCGGUGCCUUCCUCUUCACCCAUAUCGAAGGUAGAAACAACCUGGACAUAGUUGGAGACGUGAUCAGGCUGAGAAACGUGACAGCUGCCACUCUCUGGGAACUUACCUCUAAGGAGAACGUGUUUUCCGAGAGAAUCUGGAAAGCGAAAGUGAAGGCGAUCCUCGAGAAUUAUCAGAAGAAAAUGGUAACGGCUAUAAAAAAUGGCUACGACGGCGCUGAAGAAAAUAAAAGAUGGAGCUUCGCCGGGGCGUUUCUCUAUUCCCUUACUGUGAUUACCACGAUCGGUUACGGGAACAUUUGUCCAAAGACGAAAUGGGGCAAAGUGGUGACCAUAGUAUAUGCCAUAAUAGGCCUGCCACUUUUCUUGCUCUAUCUAAGCAACAUUGGUGACAUUCUCGCGAAAAGCUUCAAAUGGACCUAUGCUCGUUGCUGUCUGUGCAAGUGUCGCAGAAGACCAAUAGAAAUGGCACCAAGAGGAAGUUUGCAAAAUAGUGCAGAUAUAAGGAGAAAUCAUUGGCAAAUGGUUGACAUGCAUGGAAAGGAGAUUGACUCGAUUAGUGUAGAUAAGGAAGUUUCGAUAGAGAAUGAUGAAUCGAAAGAAGAUGACGAGAGUAGUUAUGAUCCACAACGUGUCACAGUUCCUUUGACGCUCUGCGUUGCCAUAAUGGUCGGGAAUGACCGUGUCAUUUCUUCGAGAAACGUUUCAGGUAUAUUUGGGGCGGAGCCAUUUUAUUCUCCGAAUGGGAAGACUGGAAUAUGUUGGACGGUUCUUAUUUCUGCUUCGUCUCCUUGUCGACCAUAGGUUUCGGCGACAUCGUGCCAGGUGACAAAAUCUACGCGGCCCAGGGUCUCGAUUUAUCCUUCAUCUUCUGCUCCAUGUAUCUAAUGCUUGGUAUGGCGUUGAUCGCGAUGUGCUUCAACCUGAUGCAAGAGGAAGUGAUCGCAAAGGUG